UUUGUUGCCCAAAGCCUGCUCUUUGUCUGCUGUCAGAUUUUUCAGUGUACGACCAGGGGUUACUGACUUUUCCAUUUAUUUCCAGGCAUAACUACUUUCUCACUCUUCAGCGAUGCCUUCAGAUGUUCGUCAAAGUCAAGCUUUGUGACUGUUGGCAUGAAUGUCACCGGAUCUGAAGAGGAGGAAGAUAUUACACGUUUUCACCAAAACAACUCAAGUCAUCCUUCUCCAGUUUCUGCCACACUCUGCCAUCCCUUUCUAAAGACGUGGAAGAAGGAAAAAAUAACUGCCUUCAGCUGUUCUGCUGGGACUGAAGAUGGAAGUGUAAAUGGCAUGAAAAUGGAAUUAUCCAUCAGAUGGAAGGGGUGAUCACUCCAAGUCAGUUGACCUUCUUAAAACUGCUCUAUUUUCAUCUCAGAACAAACAUGAUCUCCCACUGGUGAUUAACGAAUGCCAAGCUGAGACAGAGCACGGGGACUGAAAGCAAACCUACGCUUCUCAUUGUUCGCCACCCUCUGGGACCCCAAACAAUGAAUCAACGCAGACUGGUGAAUGACAUAUCAAGUAUACCUGGUU